rnacentral:ncRNA from 2 species
ACGACGAAACAGGGGUGCUUCGUGCGCCGCGACCCGGCCGAUGAUCGGCUUGGGCAUACGCGCAACGAGGCUGAGAGAGUCCCUUCGCACCCGAUCCGGAUAAUACCGGCGCGGGAAGUUUCCGAUCCCGCCGG